rfam:TPA: Bos taurus chromosome 29, whole genome shotgun sequence.
UGGCUCAGAUGGUAAAGAGUCUGCCUGCAAUGCAGGAGACCCAGGUUCAAUCCCUGG